CUCCGAAGUUCAAGGCUAGCCUGGGCAGUGCAUUGGAACAACUUCUCAGCCAUGGAGGAGGGUGUACUUGUUUAUUGGUGACACCGUCAUCAUUUAACUAUAAUCAGAUUCUGACUUGGCACAAACAACAUUC